rnacentral:rRNA from 1 species
GUGAGUCAUUGCAGUAAUGCAAGGCAGACGGCUCAGUAACACGUAGUCAACCUACCCUAUAGACGGGGAUAACCUCAGGAAACUGAGGAUAAACCCCGAUAGAUCAUUAUGCCUGGAACGGUUUAUGGUCCAAAUGAUUCGUCGCUAUAGGAUGGGACUGCGGCCUAUCAGCUUGUUGGUGAGGUAAUGGCCCACCAAGACUAUUACAGGUACGGGCUCUGAGAGGAGUAGCCCGGAGAUGGGUACUGAGACACGGACCCAGGCCCUAUGGGGCGCAGCAGGCGAGAAAACUUUGCAAUGUGCGAAAGCACGACAAGGUUAAUCCGAGUGAUUCCUGCUAAAGGAAUCUUUUGUUAGUCAUAAUACCACUAACGAAUAAGGGGUGGGCAAGUUCUGGUGUCAGCCGCCGCGGUAAAACCAGCACCUCAAGUGGUCAGGAUGAUUAUUGGGCCUAAAGCAUCCGUAGCCGGCUUUGUUAGUUUUCGGUUAAAUCCAUAUGCUCAACAUAUGGGCUGCCGGGAAUACUGCAAAGCUAGGGAGUGGGAGAGGUAGACGGUACUCCGUAGGAAGGGGUAAAAUCCUUUGAUCUAUGGAUGACCACCUGUGGCGAAGGCGGUCUACCAGAACACGUCCGACGGUGAGGGAUGAAAGCUGGGGGAGCAAACCGGAUUAGAUACCCGGGUAGUCCCAGCUGUAAACUAUGCAAACUCAGUGAUGCAUUGGCUUGUGGCCAGUGCAGUGCCGCAGGG